GAAAUGCGAUAAGUAAUGUGAAUUGCAGAAUUCAGUGAAUCAUCGAAUCUUUGAACGCACAUUGCGCCCCCUGGCAUUCCGGGGGGCAUGCCUGUUCGAGCGUCAUUACACCACUCAAGCCUAGCUUGGUAUUGAGCGUCGCAGCCCCCUUGUGCGCUCUAAUGUCUCCGGUCGAGCCGUCCGCCUCGAAGCGUUGUGCACACAGCUCGCUUGCGAGGCCGGGACCGGUAUUCGUCGCCGACGCAACCCCCCCUUCUUUCUACAGGUUGACCUCGGAUCAGGUAGGGAUACCCGCUGAACUUAAGC
rnacentral:misc_RNA from 1 species